rnacentral:rRNA from 1 species
AGCGAACGCUGGCGGCAGGCCUAACACAUGCAAGUCGAACGAACCUUUCGGGGUUAGUGGCGGACGGGUGAGUAACACGUGGGAACGUGCCUUUAGGUUCGGAAUAACUCAGGGAAACUUGUGCUAAUACCGAAUGUGCCCUUCGGGGGAAAGACUUAUCGCCUUUAGAGCGGCCCGCGUCUGAUUAGCUAGUUGGUUGAGGUAAUGGCUCACCAAGGCGACGAUCAGUAGCUGGUCUGAGAGGAUGAUCAGCCACAUUGGGACUGAGACACGGCCCAAACUCCUACGGGAGGCAGCAGUGGGGAAUCUUGCGCAAUGGGCGAAAGCCUGACGCAGCCAUGCCGCGUGAAUGAUGAAGGUCUUAGGAUUGUAAAAUUCUUUCACCGGGGACGAUAAUGACGGUACCCGGAGAAGAAGCCCCGGCUAACUUCGUG